rnacentral:rRNA from 1 species
AUUGAACGCUGGCGGCAGGCCUAACACAUGCAAGUCGAACGGUAACAGGAAGACGCUUGCUUCUUUGCUGACGAGUGGCGGACGGGUGAGCCAUGUCUGGGAAACUGCCUGAUGGAGGGGGAGAACUACUGGAAACGGUAGCUAAUACCGCAUAAUGUCGCAAGAUCAAAGAGGGGGACCUUCGGGCCUCUUGCCAUCGGAUGUGCGCAGAUGGGAUUAGCUAGUAGGUGGGGUAACGGCUUACCGAGGCGCCGAACCCUAGCUGGUCCGAGAGGAAGACCCGACACACUGUAACUGAGACACGGCCCAGACACUGGCGGUAGGCAGCAGUGGGGAAUAUUGCACAAUGGAGGCGAGCCUGAUGCAGCUAUGCCGCGUGUAUGAAGAAGGCCUUCGGGUGGUAAAGUACUGUAAGCGGUGAGGAAGGAAGUAAAGUUAAUCCCUGUGCUCAUUGACGUUACCCGCAGAAGAAGCACCGGCUAACUCCGUG